AACGAACGCUGGCGGCAUGCCUAACACAUGCAAGUCGAACGAGACCUUCGGGUCUAGUGGCGCACGGGUGCGUAACGCGUGGGAACCUGCCCUUAGGUUCGGAAUAACUCCCCGAAAGGGGUGCUAAUACCGGUUAAUGUCUUCGGACCAAAGAUUUAUCGCCUUUGGAUGGGCCCGCGUUGGAUUAGCUAGUUGGUAGGGUAAAAGCCUACCAAGGCGACGAUCCAUAGCUGGUCUGAGAGGAUGAUCAGCCACGCUGGGACUGAGACACGGCCCAGACUCGUACGGAAGGGAGCAGUAGGGAAUAUUGGACGAUGGGCGAAAGUCUGAUACAGCAAUGCCGCGGGAGAGAUGAAGGGCUUAGGGUUGCAAAGCUGUUUUACCCGGGAUGAGAAUGACAGUAACGGGAGAAUAAGCUCCGGCUAACUACGUG
rnacentral:rRNA from 1 species